CCUACGGGGGGCAGCAGUGGGGAAUAUUGGACAAUGGGGGGAACCCUGAUCCAGCCAUGCCGCGUGUGUGAAGAAGGCCCUCGGGUUGUAAAGCACUUUCAGUGAGGAAGAACGCCUGGUGGUUAAUACCCAUCAGGAAAGACAUCACUCACAGAAGAAGCACCGGCUAACUCCGUGCCAGCAGCCGCGGUAAUACGGAGGGUGCGAGCGUUAAUCGGAAUUACUGGGCGUAAAGCGCGCGUAGGUGGCUUGAUAAGCCGGUUGUGAAAGCCCCGGGCUCAACCUGGGAACGGCAUCCGGAACUGUCAAGCUUGAGUGCAGGAGAGGAAGGUAGAAUUCCCGGUGUAGCGGUGAAAUGCGUAGAGAUCGGGAGGAAUACCAGUGGCGAAGGCGGCCUUCUGGACUGACACUGACACUGAGGUGCGAAAGCGUGGGUAGCAAACAGGAUUAGAUACCCCUGUAGUC
rnacentral:rRNA from 1 species